rnacentral:misc_RNA from 1 species
GACAAUCUACCCUUUAAGAAUUAGGGUUAGGGUUCUCCCACUCCGCCGCCGUCUUCAGCUUAGGGUCCAGCCACUUCAUCGACAUGGGCAAGGGCACGGGGAGCUUCGGCAAGCGGCGAAACAAGACCCACACGCUCUGCGUGCGCUGCGGGCGGCGCAGCUUUCACCUCCAGAAGAGCCGCUGCUCGUCCUGCGCGUACCCCGCCGCCCGGAUCCGGAAGUAUAACUGGAGCGUGAAGGCCAUUAGGCGGAAGACAACAGGUACCGGAAGAAUGAGGUAUCUUCGCCAUGUGUCUGUUAGGUUCAAGAGUAAUUUCAGAGAAGGUACUGAAGCA